ACACACACACACACACACACAUGUGUAUGUUAAUUUUUAUAUAUUUAAAUACAUUUGUAGAAUAUUAGUGUAAUAUUAAUCAUAUACAAUAAAAUGCAAAGCAUGAAUUUUUAUAUCAUAUUAUUAAUUGCAAUAAAUUUAUUUAUCUAACCUUAUAUCAAUAUAUGUGUAAAAGUAUCUAUUUUUAUAUCAUGUAAUCUUUGGUAUGAUUUUUUUUUUAAAUAACAUUAAUUUUAAAGAAAAAUUUAUUGAGCUAAUUCAACUAAAUUUCUUAUUAAUCGAAAUAUAGUUUAUUAAUUUGAUAUUAAAUUUGACAUUAAUAAUAUCAAAUCAACAAUUAAUGAUGUGUGAAAGUUGUUAAAAUAUCCUUUAAAAGUUUCAAAAUUUUAUAUUUAUAACUUUUCCGAACUUUUUAGUGCACUCCUAAAAAAUUUUUUACAUUAAGAGAAAAGUAAACUGUUAGUUAAUACAAAAUAAUAAAAAUUUAUACAAUUAGACAUCAAAAUGAAAUAUAAUUUAUUAAAUCCAACACAAAAAAUAAUAUAAAAAAAUAAAAAUAAAAGAAACUAUCUUCAUUUAGGAGUUAGGCUCAUUAAACUAAAUAUUAAUUAAGUGAAUUUUUUGGCAUAAAAGUCAAAAGCUAUAAUUUAAUUUAUUAAGCACUACACAAGUGCAAAAAUUUUGAAAUUAGGGGGCAUGGCCACCCCCAGCCUUUUCCUCCCUCUCACUGACUUGAUUUUAACUACUGAUAUUAUGGGUUCUGAGAACAUCUCUUUGCAUUUUGUGAUUAUUGGCUUUUCUUUUUCCUUGCAUUUUCCUGUUAUACUAUGGUUAUUGGAAACUUCUUCUUUGAUGGUCUCAUACGCUUAUGAUUGUCAUUGGGUUGUCAACUUGCUAUUGUAGGGAAAAAAGCUAGCGGUUUGCUCUGCUGCAACUAAAAGUUCAGUCAUACUCUGUCUUGAGAACCUUAUAGGACUUGAGCGGUUUCAAGGUCUUGACUGCUUCCUUGCAGGUGAUGAUGUUAAGGAAAAGAAGCCUGAUCCAUCGAUUUAUCUGACAGCUGUUAAGAGGCUAGGUGUGUCUAAGAGAGAUUGUUUAGUGGUGGAGGAUAGUGUCAUUGGUCUACAGGUAGAUAUCAUGUUUCUUGACAGUCAGAGAACUAUAUUUUUUAUUUUUAUCUUCGAAGAAAUCAUAUUCUGUUCCUCAAUGGUCAAAAUUCUAGUAACAGUCACUCAUUCUAAAGAUAGACAUGUUUCAUUUUAAGUCCAUUCCACAUUUAGAGAUUAAAGAUUUGUUCAAAGAAGUGAAUAAUGAAUUAUCAAGUUCUUAAAAGAGAAGGAAGAAAAACCAAACAUUCUUGUAUGCAGGCAGCAAAAAGUGCUGGGAUGUCAUGCGUGAUUACUUAUACAUCUUCAACAGCUGACCAAGUCAGUACUUUCAAUCUUUAGCUAUCCUAAACAAGACAUUUUCUGCACAUUAUAGAACCUGAUAGCCAGAUAUAUUAAUUCAUCUAAUGUUAACUUCUAAUCAAUUCAGGAUUUUAAAGAUGCCAUUGCAAUUUACCCUGAUCUAAGUAAUGUGAGAUUAAAAGACUUAGAGUUAUUGCUUCAAAGUGUUGUCGCUGCCAGCUAGGAAAUUCAGCAUAUUGCUUGGAAUUAAUAUCUUCAUUUUUGCAGCUUUAUAAAAUUGUCCUUUGCCAUAAAACAUUCAUUUGAAGGUAUCAUAUUCAAAAUUUUCUUUCAAAGAAUUCUUCUUUGUUUAUCCCUGAGAAAAAUUAAAUUAUAAUCAAGAAAACAUUCAUGAAUCCUGUAUUUUUUUGGUUUUUAUCUGUAAGAUGUUAUUCUUAUAGGGCUCAUACUUUCUUACUCUCUCUGUUUGUAUAGUUUACAUCCAUAAUCACAAGUUGUAUGUUCUAGUGCCAGAAGCUUGAGUUCUAUACCUGAUCUUCACUUGCAACAGUUAUAACAUAACAAAGAGGUAGGAUAUUUCAUUUGUUUUGGAAAUUUGAUUAAUGUUUAGCACACCCAUAACCGUGUAUUAAUGUUUAUGUAACUUAAUCAUUUAUGAAAUAAAUUUUUUUUUUUUCCUUAAGUGACAAUUGUCAUAGCACUUGACAUAUACUACCUAACAUAUAGGUUUGUGCCAGCGUAGUGUUAAAAUAACCGCUGGAUUUGUCCAGACUUCUAGGAUUGUUGUACCUUUCCACUACAAGAAGACGCCACUAGCUAGGGAUAAACUGAGUUUUAUGCGCAUAAUUAUUUAGUCAAGCCUAGUGCAUGAUGAGCUGAGCACAUCCCAUACGUGGCCUUGACUGAAUUUAGGAAAUCCAAUUCAAUUUGAAGAUCUCUUUCAAUAGCUUAGUGUGACAAAAGAACAACAAAGUGGCGAGCAAGUGAAGAUAGAAGAAAUAAGUAAAUUCUAAUCAUUCACUGUGUUUAUAAAUUAUUGAUCAACAACGGUAAAGGGAGGAGCUAUGGCUCCACCAGUAAAGCCAAUUGACUGCAAUGAAAUACCAAUAGAUUAUUGAUAAAUAAUUUUUUUUAUAAGCAUGUAAUGAAUGAUAUAAUUAAAUAUUAUAUAUUUCUUUCAAAACAAAAUUUAAUUAAUUGAAAAUUUGGCAUAUUUUAUUAAUAUAUAUAUUUAUUUAUUUUCUAAUGAAAUAAUAUUUUUUAAAAUAAUUUUUUUUA
rnacentral:misc_RNA from 1 species